rnacentral:rRNA from 1 species
ACGAACGCUGGCGGCGUGCCUAAUACAUGCAAGUCGAACGCAUUUUCUUUCACCGUAGCUUGCUACACCGAAAGAAAAUGAGUGGCGAACGGGUGAGUAACACGUGGGUAACCUGCCCAUCAGCGGGGGAUAACACUUGGAAACAGGUGCUAAUACCGCAUAAUUCCAUUUACCGCAUGGUAAAUGGAUGAAAGGCGCUUUUGCGUCACUGAUGGAUGGACCCGCGGUGCAUUAGCUAGUUGGUGGGGUAACGGCCUACCAAGGCUGCGAUGCAUAGCCGACCUGAGAGGGUGAUCGGCCACACUGGGACUGAGACACGGCCCAGACUCCUACGGGAGGCAGCAGUAGGGAAUCUUCGGCAAUGGACGCAAGUCUGACCGAGCAACGCCGCGUGAGUGAAGAAGGUUUUCGGAUCGUAAAACUCUGUUGUUAGAGAAGAACAAGGAUGAGAGUGGAAAGUUCAUCCCUUGACGGUAUCUAACCAGAAAGCCACGGCUAACUACGUG